AAGGCUCUUGGUUUCUUCUGUGCACACUGCCUGCCUUGUAUCCAAGCGUUUGACUGUGCAGAGGCCAGUCAUACUGGGGGACCCUGAGCACUACCCUUGGCAUUUGGGUAUAUCCUGAUCAAUAUAGCCAUUUCCACUGCUUGACAUUAUGUUUUGGGGGCUAGUUUUUUAAAGAUCAAUGAUUGAAUUGCUGCUCGGCUGAUUGGAUAUGUCUUCUCGGAGACUCACCUGUCCUCCCCGAAGAGAUGCUGACUACACAACAGCAGUCACUGUGCUGGGCACACGGGCAGUGUUCAGGAGACGUGGCUUCCUUUCUUCUUCUUUCAUUUCUUCCUGCCCAGAACAGCAAGGCUGAGACUGAUAAUAAAAUUCCUGGAACAUGGAGAAACUCAUGUGGGGAGAAAAGAAGAAAUGUAUUGUGACUUCCAUGGGCUUUUGGCACUUUUGGACCUCCCUCCUCCUCUUUUCCAUAAAAAAUGUAUUUUAAGACAUAUUGGUAUAAAGAUGAGAUUAUUCAUAGUACAUAUUAAAAUGUUUUCCCCUACCUAAAA
rnacentral:lncRNA from 10 species